UACAGAGGGUGCGAGCGUUAAUCGGAAUUACUGGGCGUAAAGCGCACGUAGGCGGCUUGGUAUGUCGGGUGUGAAAUCCCCGGGCUCAACCUGGGAACUGCAUCCGAAACUGCCUUGCUAGAGUAUGGGAGAGGGAAGUGGAAUUUCCGGUGUAGCGGUGAAAUGCGUAGAUAUCGGAAGGAACACCGGUGGCGAAGGCGGUUCUCUGGGCCUGUACUGACGCUGAGGAGCGAAAGCGUGGGGAGCGAACAGG
rnacentral:rRNA from 1 species